UAUAUUGCUGAUUGAUUCGAGAAAUAAUACUAUGAGCGGCUGCCUGGUGUCAAUUAUAUUACAGGAGCAGUAAAGCACCAUGUAGUAAAAAGGAAAUAUUGUCGUGUGAGAAAGACCUCUUCAUAAGGUAGGAGCGGGGAUUCUGAUGGAGGAACCAGCGAAACGAUUAUGUUUUUGGCGUUUUUCUGCACAGCAAUUACUUCGGAACUUGGCACAUGAAAUUAUUUGCAAUCCGAAGAUUUUCGUCGAUGACCUGAUGGUAAAUGAGAAAGUGCUCAGGUAUGACGGUUUGCGAUCCAAAUGUCGAUGAGACAGUAAGACAAUAUUACCACAACUUGUUGGACGUCGGUUGUAACAAAUGCUGAAAAGACUGGCAUGAUAAGAACUCCAGGAAGGACUCCUACUGUUUCACGUUGGCCUUGCAAAAUUACAAGAAGCCGUCUUCUUUGGAAGUAGAGGAAUAAAGUGUGGCUCUAGAAUGUGUAGGCCCUGCUAAAUCCAUUUUUGGCAAGGAGGAAGAGCACUGAAGAGUUUUGUUCCAGUGUAGUGGACACCCUUUUCCACCAAGCUCAGAUUUCUAGGCACGCUGUGCCCAGAUGGAUUGUUGCAUGGACAUCACCAUCAAAUCCGCCACUGUCAUGUCCAUGGUGAUCCUUCUGCAUCUCUUCCCCCGGAUUCAUGGAUCCUGAGGACAGCGCAGCCACAGCAGCCACCAGAGGGUGUCGUCAUGACACAGCAGGAUGACCACAUGGAGAUGGAGCCUUCACCUCCUCUGCCUCCUCUCAUCCUAGCGAUGGAGCUGGACCCAUCAUCCUACCGAUGGAGCUGAACCCACCCACACUGUAGCAGCCGACACCUUCUACAUCUUGGUAUAGGCCUCAGGAAGUCAAUGCGUACCCUUCUGGGUGUUUUGCAUGGACAUUUCCACCACAGCAAAGGCUGGAUGGCGGGGUACGCCCGGUAGUCUGAUGUCCCCUGUAGCCACAGCUUCCGGUCCAACAGAGCAUCCACACUUCUCCCCCCCCCCCCCCCCCCCCAUUGUCAUGCUCCAUAUACAAUGAUGGCCCAUUGCUUUGGGGGGGGGGGGGGGGAUGUUAUGGCAUAAAGCGAGUGUCAGCGCUCCAGUUGGGAACAACAGAGAAGAGAAGGCCGUGAGAAGAUAUCAGCCAACCACAUGCUGACCAACCUCCCUCCAGGAUGACAACGCGACAGCAGCGGCCCCUAAGUGAAGACGGCAUAAGCUUCCGACUGGUGGCAGCCCACUUCGAUAGCAGCUUCAACAUUAACCACUUCGUUAGCCGAUACAUCGUAGCCUUUACAUGACAGACUUUUGUUAGAAGUGGUCACUAGGACCAGAAGUGUUACUUGUGCUUGUCUGUUCUGAAGAAGACAGAUUAUUUUGUAUGUCGCCCUUUGCUUGCAACACAUCUGUGUAAUUGCACUUGUUGUGAUCAUGUAUAAAGAACUACAAGAA